UAGGGAAUCUUCCGCAAUGGACGCAAGUCNGACGGAGCAACGCCGCGUGAGUGAAGAAGGUUUUCGGAUCGUAAAACUCUGUUGUUAGAGAAGAACAAGUGCUAGAGUAACUGUUAGCGCCUUGACGGUAUCUAACCAGAAAGCCACGGCUAACUACGUGCCAGCAGCCGCGGUAAUACGUAGGUGGCAAGCGUUGUCCGGAUUUAUUGGGCGUAAAGCGAGCGCAGGCGGUUCCUUAAGUCUGAUGUGAAAGCCCCCGGCUCAACCGGGGAGGGUCAUUGGAAACUGGGGAACUUGAGUGCAGAAGAGGAGAGUGGAAUUCCAUGUGUAGCGGUGAAAUGCGUAGAUAUAUGGAGGAACACCAGUGGCGAAGGCGACUCUCUGGUCUGUAACUGACGCUGAGGCUCGAAAGCGUGGGUAGCAAACAGGAUUAGAUACCCUGGUAGUCCACGCCGUAAACGAUGAGUGCUAAGUGUUGGAGGGUUUCCGCCCUUCAGUGCUGCAGUUAACGCAUUAAGCACUCCGCCUGGGGAGUACGACCGCAAGGUUG
rnacentral:rRNA from 1 species